rnacentral:rRNA from 1 species
UUUAUUGGAGAGUUUGAUCCUGGCUCAGGAUGAACGCUGGCGGCGUGCCUAAUACAUGCAAGUCGAGCGAAUGGAUUAAGAGCUUGCUCUUAUGAAGUUAGCGGCGGACGGGUGAGUAACACGUGGGUAACCUGCCCAUAAGACUGGGAUAACUCCGGGAAACCGGGGCUAAUACCGGAUAAUAUUUUGAACUGCAUGGUUCAAAAUUGAAAGGCGGCUUCGGCUGUCACUUAUGGAUGGACCCGCGUCGCAUUAGCUAGUUGGUGAGGUAACGGCUCACCAAGGCAACGAUGAGUAGCCGACCUGACAGGGUAAUCGGCCACACUGGGACUGAGACACGGCCCAGACUCCUAAGGGAGGCAGCAGGAGGGAAUCUUCCGGAAUGGACGAAAGUCUGACGGAGCAACGACGC